UUGCCUACGGGACGCAGCAGUAGGGAAUUUUCGUCAAUGGGCGCAAGCCUGAACGAGCAAUGCCGCGUGAACGAGGAAGGUCUUCGGAUCGUAAAGUUCUGUUGAAGGGGAAAAAGAGCGGAGAGAGGAAAUGCUUUCUGAUUGAUAUUACCCUUCGAGGAAGUCACGGCUAACUACGUGCCAGCAGCCGCGGUAAUACGUAGGUGGCGAGCGUUAUCCGGAAUUAUUGGGUGUAAAGGGUGCGUAGACGGAAGAACAAGUUGGUUGUGAAAUCCCUCGGCUCAACUGAGGAACUGCAACCAAAA
rnacentral:rRNA from 1 species